GUGCCGUCUAUUUCCUGGAGAAGGCGGGAGUGGACGGGGCGGGGGAGCUCGUCACAGCUGCAGCCCGCUCGGGGCACGUUCGUCGCCGGCUACCCUUCUCCCCAUUGUCGGGCCUGGAUCGGAGACACCGGUGGAAGAGUGGAAAUCAAAUGGAGAGCAUCUGUCAAGAUUGUCACGACUCCUAGAUUUGAGAAAAAAAAAAUGGCAAAGCGAGAAGGGACGAUAAGUCGUGUCGAUUCAUCAUUUCAAUGAGCAUUGGAGGCAAAAUGGAGCAGUGCGCUACAUAGAUGGAGCCGCAUGAGGCGCUGCUGAGGAACCGUUGACUAGUUUGUUGACAAAGAAGAAAUUCCCUUUUUUUUUUCUCCCCCCUCAUAUGUCAAUGUCUUCCUUUUGGUAAAAUUACAAAUUUUCUUGAAAUAUUUACUUUUUGUAAAUGUCAAAUUUUUGUUCAAAUAAAAUUCAGACAUUUUGUUGUUGUAAAAUCCCGACUUCAUUCUGGUGAAAUUUAAAGAUAUUUCUUGGAAAGUUACAACUUUUUUUGUGAUAUUAUCACAUUGGUAUAAAAUACCAAUUCAAUCGAUUAUUCUAUAUUUUCAAAAGCAGUUAUUUCAAGUGGUCACUUCAGCUACAAAUCCUGAAACUCUGAUAGUUAUCCGUGGUAAAAUACCCUUUUUCCUGAUGACAAAAAAAAAAAAAAAAAAAA